AAAUUUAAUAAAUACUAAAAUUAAUAUAAAAUUAUCAGAAAAUAUUAAAAUUAAAACCUAAAAAAAAAAAACACAAGACACAACCUCCAAGUUGGCAACACCAGUUUCCUUUCUGGGCAAGUGACUCCCUCUCUCUAAACAAUUCAACAAAUAAUGGAGGGAAUUAAAUCAGGCCAUUUCUGUUUCUGUUACCAAACAACUGCAUGAACUCAGAGAAGGACAUUUCAAUGGCGAAAACCUUAAGCUCUAAUCCAACGACGGGCCACAAAACAGGGUUCCGAUGUCCGCUCGUAUCCAAUCUCCCACGAGCCCUUUCUUCAUGGGCUCCAACGAUGAUCAGCUUGAACGGGCCCAAGCCCGUGCAGCCCGCGCCUCCGCCAUCCGCCGCAAGUCCCUCGCCGCCAACUUCCACCCUCAACCACCCCAUUCUCUUCCCUGUCUGAACAAACACCAGAUUAUUUUUCUAUGUUCCUUGCUUUCAAAACUUGUUGGAAUUUUCAGUUCGGUUUCUUCCCAAACAUACCUAAAUUUUGAGAAGGCUAAAACAUAAUUUUGGUCACUCAUCUAAAUUUUUUGUUUCAGUUUUAUCCUCUAAGUUUAAAAUAUUUCUCUUUGGCCCCUAAAAUUGUUUCUGUUAGUCACUUAGACUUAGUUGGCCUUUUCUUUAGUUUACCACAUCUUGAUCGAUUUGGUGAGAUGCGACAAAUUGUGAGGAAUGCCGUGUCAGAUGAGCUUUUGCCAUAUAAGCUAAAGUUAACACUGUUAAUACAAAAAACUGAUGGAAGGAAUUUAAGCCUUAAAAGAAUCAAAAUGAAACUUUUAAAACUUUCGAAUGGCAAAACUAUAAAAAAAUCAGCUUAGGUUCAAAAUUAUAUUUUAGCCUUUUGAGAACGGUAAGAAAAUAAUAUCAUCUUCCUCCGGGCACUGCCUGGUUUUUUGGGUUCUGAUUUCCUAAAUUGUGCCUUUGUUUAGUACAUUUAUGUGUUUAUGAUAUGAUGUUUCUUUAUAUGCAGUUUCUUUCAAUGAAUGCCAUCUACACUAAUGCUAAAACCUCGCUUUGGAAAGCCAAUUUUAAGGAAUCAUUUUUCGUUAUCUCAACAACCUGUUAAAAAUGUUAUUUUUUUUUUAUAAUAAGCUAAUAUUUUGAAUUAAGUUAUUGUUUAUAUAUUUUUUUUAUCACGCGCACAUGGACUUGCAAGUGUAAUUAUCAGUGUUGUUAAAUAGUGGCCAUGGUGUCGCUAGGUGAAUAUUUUGCCAACAGCCAUAGGCAAUUUGUGAAGGAAGGUCUGCCAUGGCAGCACCAUAAGGCGCAAUGGUGUGUUUAUAUGCCAGAAUUUUGGCCUUCCGCCAUCUGCAAUUGAUAACAUUGGCAAGCUGUACACUUGAAGCUGGAGUCACAAUAUACUCCUUAAGGGUGGAUUCGGUGCAUUCUGAAGCAUAUAAAGUCCUUGCUAGAAUGAAUAGAGCAUGCCAAGAUACUGAGCAAGGUUACAAUAAUUACCCUCUUAUAUUCUGAACUUUUUCUGCCCUUCUAGUUCUAUAGCAAUAUUAUCCUUUGUUUUGUAGAUGGGGGACAUGGGGAUUGUUUUCUUCCUUAAUUGUACAACAAGUUAUAUAUUUUUACUUAAUGUUCGGUAUCUUAAGAAUGUCUGAACUAUGAAUGGCUCCAGUACUGUCGGUACUUUAACUUUUUAUUUUUUAAUAGUUUCUAAUGCACGGUGUCAUAUUGUUCAGACACUACUUUAGGGAAUGUUAAUGCUGAAAGUGGACAAGCAAGCAGGAAGGAAGUUGGCAAAAAGGUUGAUUCUCUGGGUAUUUGGAUUGAAAUCAUACAUUUUGUUUAGUUCUAAGAGGUGUUUGUCCAAGUAGUUGUUGCCUUUGUUAACAUUGUUAACACUUUUGCUCUUGAUAUAUGAAUAUUUCUGUAUGAUUGUAUCAUAAAUUCAUAAUUCAUACAUGCAGAUUAAAGGAUAAUAUCUUUCACGAGUUCUUCUAUUCCUCUUCAUUAAUUUUACUUUCUAUACACAAUUUUGCCAAAAAUUAUUGCAGUUUGAGCUUAAGUAUGAAUGAUGAUUUCUAAAUAACACAGAUCAAUAAAAUUGAAGUCCAGUAUGACAAAACAUCCAAACAAGUCAAUGUUCAGGUUCUGAAAACAACACUUUGGGACCAUAUUCAAGAAUCCGUUCACAUUCCGAUUCAGUAAAAAAGAAGUGGUAUCUUUCAAGCAUAUGCUGACCAACUUUCCUAGUAAAUGCAAUGGUGCUGCAACUAUUAUUGACAUAUCUCCACAUUUGUGUUUCAUAUGCCUAUUGCAUUUGGCAAAUGAGAAAGGAUUGAGCAUCCAAAGCUGCCCCAACAUGGAUGAUCUUGCCAUAUAUGCCUACCUGAUGAUGAUGCCACUAUCACCGAAACAGUUUAGAUCUGCUUCACUCAAUUAUAUCUUCACUUCAAGAAAUAGGAAAUAUUUUGACUAGUCUUUAUGUGCUGUUCGUUUGCUUGCUCUGAUGCUUUUAUUGUUUGCAAAAAAUACUAUAUUUUCUAUUUUUUGUUCAUAGGCAAGAUUUCGUUAGCGAACUUCUACAACAUAUUUAGGAUAAAAUUUGUGUCUUUUAUAGAAGAUUAAGAUUGACAUAACUCCGAUUCUAAUAUU